UCCCAAGACCACAUUCCAAACCAAUCCAAUCAGAGUCUCUGGGGAUGGGAUUUAGACAGUGGGACUUUUCCAAGUUUUACCGGUGAUUGUAAUGUGCCGCCUGGGGGAAGGAUCACUGGACUGGAGCAUUAGUUUCAAAGGUUUAUUGUAAACCAGAUCCCUUGGAUGAAUUCAGAAGGUCUGGUUGGACUUACUCCUGACUCAUUUUCUGCUGUGCCAACAUUGCUGUGACAUGGGGUUGAUUUUUGGGUGUUUUCUAGAAGACUCCCUUCCCCAAAUGCCUUUCUGGAGACCCACAGAGCAGCCCCGCAGCCUCCCUGUAUUUGGCCUCAUGUUCCCUGGUUCCAGCCAUUGGAGCUUUGAUUUUCCAGGGAAUCGUUGAUGUUUCUCACUCCAAAAUGCAUGACACCAUGACUGCCAUCAAAGAACUGCUAGAAUGUCUAAUUACCACAAAGUAGCAGGAAAAACAGACCGACCUCAUGCCCUGAAUCUUUCAAAUGGCAGAGAUGAUGGACCAAUGACACCGACACCUCAGCUUCACAAUAUAUGGCACUUAAAAAAAUAAAGUGACUUGCUCCAUU